AAAAAAAACAUAUCCCCAAUCCUCUUUCACGUUCAUCCAUGGCCGACAACAACAAGGCGGCAGAUCGGCAUGGUGCGGUGGUGGAUCUCCGGCAGAGUGCUUCUCCAACCAGCAUGCCGAAGUCGUUUGCCUCUUCUUCUUAUGUCCUUCUUGAAUUGGAUUGGUAAUAUUACAGUGGGACUACACUACAAUAACUGGAUUGCGGAUCAGUGUGGAGUUCCUGUUUUUGAAGAAUGGAGAAAGCAAAUGUACAAUUACGUAUCUAAGAACAAGCUCGUGUAUCACAAAUCUAUUUUUUCGUAUCUUUGUAUAUGGGUUAUAGCAACCCUUAUGCUAUCUUAUAUACAUGUUUUUGGCCUUUCAAAAACAACUUGUCCCUUCCUUGAAAACAAGUACAGAUUUUAUGGAACGAAUGAUGGAUUUGAUUCAACUUAGAUCAUGGAAUUGGCUUGUGGCAAGGACUAGGAGUUUUCAACACUCCUUAUCUGAAUGGUGCUCCAAUCGUGUUAUGUGCAUAAAGGAUGUUGGCUGAUUUUUUUUUAUUAUGAAUUUUACUGUGUUUGGUUGGAUUUUGGGCCACCUUGGAUUGGAUUUGAGGCUUUAGAAGGGGUUAGCUACAUAUUGUAUACUGCCAUAGAUUGUAUUGUUUUGUAGCUAUUGUCAGCAUUGCAGGCUCGACUGAUGUGUUGUGUCUCUGUUUUUUCUUGUUAUGUUCUUUUUUCUACUGUCUUUGGUGCUAUUUUGUAUUUAGUUUCUUAUUUGUACUGGGUUGAAGUACCCCUUGUACUUCUCACUAUUAUUAAUAUAUAUAUACACACACACAUUGGCCUA